UUAAACUAACGCAGAGAAACCGCAGAAGAUCUCAAGACUCGGCUGAGAAACCUCUUCAACAGCUCGUCUGAUCUCCUCGGUGCUGUGGUCAUGCUGCGGGGUUCGAGUCCGUUCGGCUGGUCCAGUGGUUACACUGAAUCGCUUCGCUCCAGCGUGACUGCGUUGGAUGACGCGUCUUCGGAUCUGUCGGGUUUAUCCAGACCCAGCGCUAAAUCAAUAUACCGUGAG